CUCUCCCUGGAGUCUGGGAAUCAGUGAAACCCAGGCAUGCCAGGAAGAGCUCAGCGGAUCAGGCUUUGAGAACAGUUUCGGCUCAGUAUGAGGACUGGGUGCCCAGGUGGAGCUGCUGGUGGUACAGCCCUGUGCCUUGAGACAGAAGGGCAGCCUCCCUGGAGAGCAUUCCAGUGGGUCCCCAAAUCUGACAUAUCAAGAUUAAGACCUGAGGAUUUGGAGCAGAGUGACAAGAAAGGGAUCAAACUUGAGGUGACUGAGCUGAGACAGGAGUCCCCCUGCCAAGGUAGGAGCCACAUAUUCGGGGCCCUUGGUCCAGG